rnacentral:rRNA from 1 species
UUAUUUUCUAGGUUGACCUCGGAUCAGGUAGGGAUACCCGCUGAACUUAAGCAUAUCAAUAAGCGGAGGA